GUUGCUGCGCACGCGCAUAAAUAUAUGGUUGUCCUUCUUCUAGCUCCUCCUUCCCCGUCAAUCUUUCUCCCGAGCCACCUGCAGAUCUUUACCAGUGUGGAUCGAACAAAGCAUAAGUAUCCUUUGUUUGUUGUUUCCCAGGUGUGUUUUCUUCAUCCCCUUUCUGCGAAAGACGAUUGUUAACUGUAAGCAAAAGGCUGGGCUUGUGAGCUGGUCUGUAUGGGAUGUGCAUCAUCAAAGCAGUUCAGACGAGCUCCACCGCAUGAGGAUGCGGCUCUUCUGGCCAAAGAGACCACAUUUUCUUUGAAUGAAGUGGAGGCCCUCUACGAGUUGUUCAAAAAGAUUAGCUAUUCUAUAUUCAAGGAUGGGCUUAUUCACAAGGAGGAGUUCCAACUUGCUCUCUUCAGGAACAGCAACCGGAAGAACCUUUUCGCUGAUCGGAUAUUUGAUCUGUUUGAUCUGAAGCGAAAUGGUGUGAUUGAAUUCGAGGAGUUUGUUCGGUCCCUCCACAUUUUUCACCCGGAUACACCCAUGGCAGACAAGAUUGCAUUUGCAUUCAGACUAUAUGACCUGCGAGGCACCGGCAGCAUUGAACGUGAAGAGUUGAAGGAAAUGGUGCUUGCAAUCCUGAAUGAAUCAGACCUACUUCUUUCUGAUGAUGCUGUCGAACAGAUUGUAGAUCAGACAUUCAAGCAGGCAGACCUGAACAGCGACGGGAGGAUAGAUCCCGACGAAUGGAAAGAGUUUGCAAGUAAGAAUCCAGCCUUGCUGAAGAACAUGACUCUCCCGUACCUGAAGGACAUAACCAUGUCAUUCCCCAGCUUUGUUGUCUACUCUGGAGCCGGCGACGAAGAGUUGUAGCAGUAGCAGCCAUCUGCACAAGCAUCUGUGACUCUGACCUCUCAAGUCUCAGGCAUACAGCAUCAUGUUCACAGUACAAAUUUUUGGAUUAUGAAACACCGCUUUGUAGCAGAAACUGCAAUAGCAGAAUGUGCGCUGAGAAAUGGUACACAUCAGCUCAACAGCUGGGCAAUUUAUUUAUUUUGUCACCGAAUGGGCUGAUCUCUCUCAUACUUACAUUUGCAGUAUCUAACAGUUUGGCCAUAUAGAUUCUUCAUGGUGCAUUUACAGGCGAAUAUACGUGCAUUUAACCUGAACUGUCAAAAUCUGACUACUGAACUCCGUGACUCUCGAUAUACAUUUCACUCAAAAUUUGACUAUUGAACUCCAUGACUCUUGACACACAUUUCACUGUCCGACUCGCAGAAGUUCUUUGUCGAAAAUGAAAACACAGAAGUUGAGCAAGUAACUGCAAUGACGAUCCAGGAUCCGGUUCACAGCAUCGGUCGGGUGGAAUUCAUCCCACCACACAUGGCUUGACGCGUCGC
rnacentral:rRNA from 1 species